AGUAAAUAGAUACCCUGGUAGUCCACGCCGUAAACGAUGUCGACUUGGAGGUUGUGCCCUUGAGGCGUGGCUUCCGGAGCUAAACGCGUUAAGUCGACCGCCUGGGGAGUACGGCCGCAAGGUUAAAACUCAAAUGAAUUGACGGGGGCCCGCACAAGCGGUGGAGCAUGUGGUUUAAUUCGAUGCAACGCGAAGAACCUUACCUACUCUUGACAUCCAGAGAACUUAGCAGAGAUGCUUUGGUGCCUUCGGGAACUCUGAGACAGGUGCUGCAUGGCUGUCGUCAGCUCGUGUUGUGAAAUGUUGGGUUAAGUCCCGCAACGAGCGCAACCCUUAUCCUUUGUUGCCAGCGGUUCGGCCGGGAACUCAAAGGAGACUGCCAGUGAUAAACUGGAGGAAGGUGGGGAUGACGUCAAGUCAUCAUGGCCCUUACGAGUAGGGCUACACACGUGCUACAAUGGCGCAUACAAAGAGAAGCGACCUCGCGAGAGCAAGCGGACCUCAU
rnacentral:rRNA from 1 species